rnacentral:rRNA from 1 species
AACGAACGCUGGCGGCAUGCCUAACACAUGCAAGUCGAACGAGACCUUCGGGUCUAUUUGCGCACGGGUGCGUAACGCGGGGUAACCUGCCCUUAGGUUCGGAAUAACUCCCCGAAAGGGGUGCUAAUACCGGAGAAUGUCUUCGGACCUAAGAGUUAUCGCCUUUGGCUGGGGCCGCGUUGGAUUAGCUAGUUGGUAGGGUAAAAGCCUACCAAGGCGACGAUACAUAGCUGGUCUGAGAGGAUGCUCAGCCACAAUGGGACUGAGACACGGACCAGACUCCUACGGGAGGCAGCAGUGGGGAAUAUUGGACAAUGGGCGAAAGCCUGAUCAAGCCAUGCCGCGUGAGUGAUGAAGGCCUUAGGGUUGUAAAGCUCUUUUACCCGGGAUGAUAAUGACAGUACCGGGAGAAUAAGCUCCGGCUAACUCCGUG